rnacentral:lncRNA from 1 species
CCUCCCCCUCGCCGCCGCCUCCGACUACGCAUCCGUCGCCUCCACCUUCGACCCCCUCCUCUCCUCCGCCUCCGCCGCCUCGCCCCGCUCGCCCCGCUCCCCUCCGGCUCGCGCCGCCGCCUUCACGCUCUCCCCGACCUCCUCCUCCUCGUUCGUCGACCCGCCCUCCUACGCCGACGCCACCGGCGCCGGCGCCGGCUCCUCCUCCCCACGCUCCGCCUCCUCGCCCUCCUCCGCGUCGCCGAGAUCCGCGCGCGCGGCGGCCUCCGAGUACUCCCUGCUCGCCGUCUCCGACCCGGAGACCGAGGCCGAGCCCGCCGCCACCUCGCUCGUCCCCGGAUCCGCGCCCACCUACGUCUCCUACCUCGUCACCAGCGUCCGCCGCGGGGACCCCGCCCAGCGCCGCCACGCCGUGCGGCGCCGCUUCCGGGACUUCGUCACGCUCGCCGACCGCCUCGCCGAGGCCUUCCGGG